GUAGUCCACGCCGUAAACGAUGAAUGCUAGGUGUUGGGGCUUACGGGUCUCAGUGCCGAAGUUAACACAUUAAGCAUUCCACCUGGGGAGUACGACCGCAAGGUUGAAACUCAAAGGAAUUGACGGGGGCCCGCACAAGCAGCGGAGCAUGUGGUUUAAUUCGACGCAACGCGAAGAACCUUACCAGGUCUUGACAUCCAAUUAAACUUGUAGAGAUACAAGGUGUGCUUGCACAAAUUGAGACAGGUGGUGCAUGGUUGUCGUCAGCUCGUGUCGUGAGAUGUUGGGUUAAGUCCCGCAACGAGCGCAACCCUUACUGAUAGUUACUAACGCGUAAAGGCGAGGACUCUAUCAGGACUGCCGGGGACAACUCGGAGGAAGGUGGGGACGACGUCAAAUCAUCAUGCCCCUUAUGACCUGGGCUACACACGUGCUACAAUGGUCGUUACAGAGAGAGGCGAGACCGCAAGGUUAAGCGGAUCUCAAAAAAGCGAUCCCAGUUCGGAUUGUGGGCUGCAACCCGCCCACAUGAAGUCGGAGUUGCUAGUAAUCGCGGAUCAGCAUGCCGCGGUGAAUACGUUCCCGGGCCUUGUACACACCGCCCGUCACACCAUGGGAGUUGGGAGUGCCCAAAGCCGGCGAGGUAACCGCAAGGAGCCAGCCGUCUAAGGCAAGACCAAUGACUGGGGUG
rnacentral:rRNA from 1 species